GUUGAAGAACGCAGCGAAACGCGAUAGUUAAUGUGAAUUGCAGAAUUCAGUGAAUCAUCGAAUCUUUGAACGCACAUUGCGCCCGCCAGUAUUCUGGCGGGCAUGCCUGUUCGAGCGUCAUUUCAACCCUCAAGCACAGCUUGGUGUUGGGACUCGCGUUAAUUCGCGUUCCCCAAAUUGAUUGGCGGUCACGUCGAGCUUCCAUAGCGUAGUAGUAAAACCCUCGUUACUGGUAAUCGUCGCGGCCACGCCGUUAAACCCCAACUUCUGAAUGUUGACCUCGGAUCAGGUAGGAAUACCCGCUGAACUUAAGCAUAUCAAUAAGCGGAGGA
rnacentral:misc_RNA from 1 species